rnacentral:misc_RNA from 1 species
GUUGCUUGAAAUGCAGGUGCAGCUGGGCAUUCUUCUGAGCUAAAAGCAUAUUAUUUAGUCCCGUCAAACGGAUUAUUAUUCUUGCUUCAGCUUACAUAAAGGUUGAAUGACUACCGAGGCUGAUUGCAGGUAAACUCGUUCCGUUAAAAAGAGCUUGUGAACUCGAUCUCAAAUCAAGUAAGACUACCCGCUGAACUUAA